AUGAACGCUAGCUACCGGCUUAACCCAUGCAAGUCGAGGGGCAGCAUGAUUGAAGCUUGCUUCAAUCGAUGGCGACCGGCGCACGGGUGAGUAACACGUAUCCAACCUGCCGAUAACUCGGGGAUAGCCUUUCGAAAGAAAGAUUAAUACCCGAUAGUAUAGUAUUUCCGCAUGGUUUCACUAUUAAAGAACUUCGGUUAUCGAUGGGGAUGCGUUCCAUUAGAUAGUUGGCGGGGUAACGGCCCACCAAGUCAACGAUGGAUAGGGGUUCUGAGAGGAAGGUCCCCGACAUUGGAACUGAGACAAGGUCCAAACUCCUACGGGAGGCAGCAGUGAGGAAUAGUGGUCAAUGGACGAGAGUCUGAACCAGCCAAGUAGCGUGAAGGAUGACUGCCCUAUGGGUUGUAAACUUCUUUUAUACGGGAAUAAAGUGGAGUAUGCAUACUCCUUUGUAUGUACCGGAUGAAUAAGGAUCGGCUAACUCCGUG
rnacentral:rRNA from 1 species